GUUUCAGCAGAUGCUUUUAUUAUGUGAAGGAAACAGGAACGGCCCUUCUGUUCUGUCUCUGAAGACACAACCAAAGCGCUGCAGCCGUCGAUUGGCUCUUGCCAGGAGAGCUGCCCAGCACCACCCACUGCAACAGGGGAGGGGCGUUAAGGGGCGGUGGGCGCAAACAUUACAGAUGGCUGCAAGCCCCACAAUGGAGCAUUAAGAAAAACAAACCAACAGAAAAAAGUUCUGCCAGCAAAUGCAAAGGUAGAUGCAUCUCCUCUUCAUCUAUUUAUAAACAAUCAUUAACAGGAGAGGACUUUUUGGUCCACUGGACUGAAGAAAUGACACAGAGACAACCUACAAGGAAACAUUUCAGGACAUCUUGAUUUACAGAGGAAAAGAGAGGCUUGCUGCAAAGCGCAGGGGAGGAUCAGAGGAGAACCUGCCAAACAAGGCAGUCAGCCCCUUCGGAAGCCACAGGCAUCAGAGCCAAUCCACGGGCAGCUCCAACACGCCUGCUGCAAAGUGCGCCCACUGCAGGCACACUCUUCUCAAUGCCUACAGCUUUGCCAAGCUAAAGCAGAUUUCACCACGGAGCUAUAAUGUCCCCUUCAGCCCCACACAGGAAAACAUCCCUGCUGCCCAAACCACACAGGGAAGGGCUACAUGUUUCGUAAGCAAGCUCAGAACCAGAGACCUCUGUGCAUCAUGGUGGAGUUGAAGGUUCGGUCAGCCCUCGGGGCCGCCGCGUUUUGGCCUGCACUCCUUGUAACGACCGGGAGACGCGCCACGCAGGGCACGGAGCAGCGGGACGGGGCGGCAGCGACCGCAGAGGGCAGAACGGGCCGC